rnacentral:rRNA from 1 species
UACAGAGGGUGCAAGCGUUGUUCGGAAUUACUGGGCGUAAAGCGCGUGUAGGCGGUCUGAUCAGUCGGUCGUGAAAGCCCUUGGCUUAACCAAGGAACUGCGAUCGAAACUGCCGGACUAGAGUAUCGGAGGGGGUGGCGGAAUUCCCGGUGUAGAGGUGAAAUUCGUAGAUAUCGGGAGGAACACCUGUGGCGAAGGCGGCCACCUGGAAGAUUACUGACGCUGAGACGCGAAAGCGUGGGGAGCAAACAGG